rnacentral:rRNA from 1 species
GACGAACGCUGGCGGCGUGCUUAACACAUGCAAGUCGAACGGAAAGGCCCUGCUUUUGUGGGGUGCUCGAGUGGCGAACGGGUGAGUAACACGUGAGUAACCUGCCCUUGACUUUGGGAUAACUUCAGGAAACUGGGGCUAAUACCGGAUAGGAGCUCCUGCUGCAUGGUGGGGGUUGGAAAGUUUCGGCGGUUGGGGAUGGACUCGCGGCUUAUCAGCUUGUUGGUGGGGUAGUGGCUUACCAAGGCUUUGACGGGUAGCCGGCCUGAGAGGGUGACCGGCCACCAUGGGACUGAGAUACGGCCCAGACUGCUACGGGAGGCAGCAGUGGGGAAUAUUGCACAAUGGGCGGAAGCCUGAUGCAGCAACGCCGCGUGCGGGAUGACGGCCUUCGGGUUGUAAACCGCUUUCGCCUGUGACGAAGCGUGAGUGACGGUAAUGGGUAAAGAAGCACCGGCUAACUACGUG